AAUGAAAACUCCAACCAAGAGACCGAUAUAUGGUAAUUCGGCAACACCCAUAGAGAAAUGUCGUUUCUCGCUAAAGAUGAUGGGAUAAGCCUCAAGUAAUAAAUAAAGGAUAGCAUAAACAAAUGAGCUAUACAGUGUAAUUAAGAAAACGAUGGGCUCCGUAAACAACAGUUUCAUUGGAACCAACAAAUAAUUUUUUGCAACGUCAGGUACGGUAAGCACCUCCUCUUCUGAUUUAGCAUGGACAAAAUAAUUCCCGCUCAUAGCUCGAUACUCUUUUGCCUUAUUUCGUAUAAUAGCCUUGGAGUAUGUCUCAUCACAAAAUAGAUAAACAAUUACUAAAGCGAAAAACCCCAUAAACGAAGUAAUGUACUCUGUCCAUCUCCAACCCAAGUAUGAUUUUGUAAGAAAUCCACCGAUGAUAGGUGACACCAAGGGACCAUCAAACACUAGUGCAGCAAAGAUGGUGAU